AGAGUUUGAUUCUGGCUCAGAACGAACGCUGGCGGCGUGGAUAAGACAUGCAAGUCGAACGGGAGAAUUGCUAGCUUGCUAAUAAUUCUCUAGUGGCGCACGGGUGAGUAACACGUGAGUAACCUGCCUCUUAGUGGGGGAUAGCCCUGGGAAACCGGGAUUAAUACCGCAUACGAUUGAAAGAUCAAAGCAGCAAUGCGCUAGGAGAUGGGCUCGCGGCCUAUUAGUUAGUUGGUGAGGUAACGGCUCACCAAGGCGAUGACGGGUAGCCGGUCUGAGAGGAUGUCCGGCCACACUGGAACUGAGACACGGUCCAGACACCUACGGGUGGCAGCAGUCGAGAAUCAUUCACAAUGGGGGCAACCCUGAUGGUGCGACGCCGCGUGGGGGAAUGAAGGUCUUCGGAUUGUAAACCCCUGUCAUGUGGGAGCAAAUUAAAAAGAUAGUACCACAAGAGGAAGAGACGGCUAACUCUGUGCCAGCAGCCGCGGUAAUACAGAGGUCUCAAGCGUUGUUCGGAAUCACUGGGCGUAAAGCGUGCGUAGGCUGUUUCGUAAGUCGUGUGUGAAAGGCAGGGGCUCAACCCCUGGAUUGCACAUGAUACUGCGAGACUAGAGUAAUGGAGGGGGAACCGGAAUUCUCGGUGUAGCAGUGAAAUGCGUAGAUAUCGAGAGGAACACUCGUGGCGAAGGCGGGUUCCUGGACAUUAACUGACGCUGAGGCACGAAGGCCAGGGGAGCGAAAGGGAUUAGAUACCCCUGUAGUCCUGGCAGUAAACGGUGCACGCUUGGUGUGCGGGGAUUCGACCCCCUGCGUGCCGGAGCUAACGCGUUAAGCGUGCCGCCUGGGGAGUACGGUCGCAAGAUUAAAACUCAAAGAAAU
rnacentral:rRNA from 1 species